rnacentral:lncRNA from 1 species
AGUAGGCAAGGGGACGGUGUGCCUCUGACUGAACAUAGACUGAACGAAAGCUCUACCAUACUGGUUCUGCCUCCAACCAUGGCAAAAAUCAUCUUGAGACACCUCAUAGAGACCCCAGUGCGCUACGAGGAGGAGUUUGAAGCUCGAGGUUUGGAAGACUGCAGGUUGGAUCAUGCUUUAUACGCCCUGCCGGGGCCAACCACUGUGGACCUGAGAAGAGCCAGGGCAGCCCAGGUUCCUCCGGUGGACUCGGUGGCAGAGAUGCCAACCCAAGAAGGCAAAUCCCGCUUCCAGAUCCUGCUGGAUGUGGUCCAGUUCCUGCCCGAAGAUAUCAUCAUUCAGACCUUCGAAGGCUGGCUGCUGAUCAAGGCUCAGCACGGAACCAGAAUGGAUGAGCAUGGUUUUAUCUCAAGAAGCUUCACCCGACAGCUCCCCAGGAAGUAAAAUUGUUACCAUGGGGAGCCACUGAUAGAAACUUUUCCUUUAAAAAUAAACACUAAAGUAGCCACAUCAUCCAAUUAGCAUUUUUUUCUGAGAUAAAAUUUAAAGUAUUACACAACCAUUUUUUGGUUUGGAAAAUAUACAAAACACUAUAAAAAAUUUUAAAAAAAUUUAUUAUUCUUUUAUUACUAUGAGGUUGCUACUUUAAACUUCUAGUCCAGUCUUCCCUUACAUAUAAAAACAUGUAUCACUUUUCAUGAAAUUAGGAUAAUAUUUGCAUCAGAGUUUGAUAGGCCAAUAGUACUGGUUACUGUCCAUUGUCUGCCUCACUUCGUGCCAACCCAAACCCAUGCUUCGCCCUUGUCAGCCCAACUCUGAGCCCAAGCAGGCUGACCCCCCUGGGCUGACAUCAUUCUAGUUUCCCACUGGAUUCUGACUAUGGGAAUGCCAAGGGGAGACCAGAGAUUGGAGAGAGAACACUGGUGGGCAGGAGGGGAGAAAGGUCAGGGCAUUUCCUUCUGUCAACCUGCUGUAGACGAGGCGCUGGCAGGCCUGUGUCCCUCCAGGACUACACCUCUGGAGAGGUGGCCCCUCCUCUAGAGCUCCUACUUGUACUGGGCUCGGGUGUUCUGAUGGUUUCUUCCUUUUGUCCUGUCAGCAGUUGGGGUGGUGAUGUUUUCUAUCCUUUUUUGUCCCUGGUGCUUCACCAUCCUUUAUCGAUUCCUUUGACUUGGCUUUGUCAUAAAUGGUCCCUUCAUUAAAGUCCUUUUCAGGUGAUGGGAUUCUGUUUCUCUCCAGAGCUCUGACUGCUUGACUUCUUAAGUGAUUAAAAAAAAGGGGGGGGGGGGGGGGGGGAACAUCACUUGCUUUUAUUACCAAACAUUAAGAUUUGUAAUGGCUAUGCACUCUUCCAACACAGAUAACCAUGGUAUAAUUUAACCAUUCCUUUUCACUACUGGUCCCAGCAGGAAACAGAUAGCAAUGUCAAAAUUAGAAAAAUUCAAAUUGGAAUAGUUUAUUUAUAAAGAGAGACAUUCCAAAGGAGUGGGCAGGGUGAAGAACUGCUGCAAGAGAUAGUCUAUAACCUGAAGGUAGCAGUGUGGAGCUGUUCUGGUUCCCUAGGUCCAAAGAGAUGAGAGGAUGAAGCAAGUCUCAGAAAUCAAGCAAGUCAGAUGGAGGAGUCCACCAGCUGUGACUUUCUUGUGACAGCCCCAGGUGACGCCUUAGUGGUGCCAGGAGAAUAAAUACUUUAUCCCUCUAAUCUCCUCCCAGGGCAACCCCCUUGCCAGACUUAAGUGGUAGCCCGAGGGCAUGGACACCUUGUUGAUACCGAUCCACAGCCUCCCACAGUGGGGGGCAGGGUGGAAAAAAACAUGAAGAGUGACUCCUGGGGACAAGAGGAAAAUACCCAACAUUCCUGUAAAGGGAGUACUGUUGUUACAGCUCUUUAAAAAAAAAAAAAAAAACUUUCCUACAAAAUACAGCCUGAAACAAGUGCUGAGACUUUAUUUGGGAAGUGCAAGCACAGAAUGGUAAAAGUGAGAAAAUAGGGGGAAAGAGGUGAGAAAAAAUGGGAAGCAAAGUGAAGUGAUGUGUUACCAUGCUGGCCAACACUUCACAGUGAGCUAUGAAGAGACUUAGCCAGCUCUUGGCGAGGAUGUUGGCUUAGCACCUGGAACUUCUCCAGAAGAGUUUUGGGAAGAAAUAAAAUCUUAAAGCAAUCCACAGGGAAGAAAAAAGAGGGAAGUUGCUUGCCUGGUCCCUACUAUUUCCUGUUUCCCUUUAGUUAAGAUUUAGCUCACAUGGAAUAGACUGUCCUGCACUUCUGGGGUGUAUCAUCCAAACUCUUAGUGGCUGCUGGGAACACCAGACUCCAGACCCCACAGUGUGACAUUUCAUCCAUGCUGGGAGCAGAAGGAGACUCAGCAUGGUUAGGGCUCACUCAGGGUGAGAAACACGGGCUCAGGGUUUCACCUUGGCCUCCAGCCACCUUAGGAAAAUUGGCAGCAGCUCUGAUGGCAGGAGCAUGGUCUGUGAGGCAGGUGAUACCCUCAGAAAAAAGAAGGCAGAUGGAAGGCACACACGGUUAUGUAUCCACCACAACCCCAAAUCCAAAACUGCGGGGGGGGGGGGGGGGGCGGGGAGGGGAACCAAGCAAAUCACUCAGCUUUAUGGCAUCUAUUGUGUAUGUACCCCCAGACUGCCUUCAAAUUUUAUGGACUCUCACAUCACCUUAUAUUUUAAUCUUAUUUUUUUAUUGGCUUAAGUGCAAAGUCAGUUCUCUUAAACUUCUUUGGGAUUUUUCUUUUCCUGUAGAUUGUGGAUCAAAGGUUUAGUUUUGUUUUAAAUUGCCUAACUCUUAUCCUGGAAGCCCAGAAGUCACUGUGAUGUGGGAAACAAAGGUAGAAGAAAAAUUAUUAAAUUUCCUCACUACUUACAGCCCACUGCCAAGUCCUUGAAACAGGCAGAGUGACCUUCCUCUAGAACUCAGCUGCCUCAAUGUUAAUACUUCGCUAAGGGCAAAAGGCAAUCUUAGCCCGACCUUCUGGGAACCUGUAGGUCUACUUUUACAUGUAAAAAUUCCUUUGGGAACUUCCUUUAUCUCUAUUCCCCAAGAUACGCACUGGUGAUCAUCCCCUAAGCAUAUGACCCACUGAUAUACAUCUGAAGGGUCUCAUCACUAAGGUUUUAUUAGACAGUAAUAAAUGUCUAAUAAAAUAGCUAGCCUCCUCAAGGUCCUGGAAACCUUGCUUCCAAAAUUCCUUAGAGACUUAUGCUCUCCUUAACCCCCUCCCAACUUGAAAGUGUAUAAUGGGCCACUCCUCAUGCUCCCAGGGCAGCUCUGUCUGCUCAUGGCUCCUGUCCUUGUGUUUAAUAAAAGCACCUUUGUGCACCACAGAUUUCUCUAGAAUCCUUCCUUGGCCGUUGGGCUUCAAACCCUAACAGUCUUCCCUACAUCAGUUGAAGACUUUGGUUCCUAUGAGCCUCCCUGAGUCCAAGCUGCCCUGGGAUCCUGAACGUGCUCUUGCCUUCUUCUCACCUACUUGGGAUUGUCUGAAAAUUGCUGUUAGUGGUCCUUAGCACUACAAAAAGUGAUUUAAAGAAACACGAAUGGCAUACAACAUCAAGGGGAAAUGAUCAGAACACCUCAUAUCAUUUCCUCAAGCUUAACAAAAAUCUCUUUUUCACUAGUCACCACGGUUCUCUUCAGAGAUUCUCAAACAAUGAGUAAGAAAGAAUAAAAAUGUUCAUUUGGUAUGCAAAUUUACAGCUCACAUACUACAUUUUGAAAAUAAGUCUUUGUCUUAGAAAUUGAGUUGGCCAGAUGUCCCCCAUCAAAAUGUGAGACAGCAUUUUUAAUUUGAAAAACAAAUGAUUUUAAGUAAAUGUUUUUUUCUACCUUUCCUCAGUGUUGUUUCAUACACAAGAGCAUGCAUGUACAUAUACUAAUAUAAAAUCCUGUUUAUUAAUGUCUUCUAACUUUAAGGACAAAUACAGUGAAAAUCUAUUGUAGUAAAAUAAAAUGGCCUAUAUGAC